rnacentral:tRNA from 1 species
GGAGAGAUGGCCGAGUAGGUCGAAGGCGCUCGCCUGCUAAGCGAGUACACGGGGUUGACCCGUGUCGCGGGUUCGAAUCCCGCUCUCUCCGCCA